GAGCAGUGCUCCGAGAGCACUUCGUUCACACCGAAGAGGUCACUGGUUCGAUCCCAGUAUCGCCCA
rnacentral:tRNA from 1 species